CCACACAUUUACUUAGCAUCACUGUUCCUUUUAUGAAAUUGAAUAAAAACUAUCUAUACUAUAAUUAAACCCAGUCUUUGAUACAUAAAUAGAAUCUACAAUUAUUUUCGUAUCGUACAUGAAUGCAUCGUCUCCGGACAACGUAUAUCGAAUAGUUGUGAAGUGUCUAGUUAGUAGAAUUGUCCCUCAGUCCUAGUUAGUAGGACGACGGUGAGAGGUGACAGUUUCAAGCCAGCCUCUGAACAACAUGCGUGUUAUAAUCAUUUUGGCCCUUUGCAUAGUACUUACACUCGCUGCUCCGCAAUCAAAACUUGAAUUCGCUAAUAAUGAUAACAACGGCAAGCAGUUUAUAGAGGAAGUGGUAGUGGAGUCGGUACUUCACGUCAAGAGUCCGACAGCAACAAGACAGGGUCGAACCAGCACCGACCUUCAGACAGGAGCUAGGGUACAACUCAAACAGUGAUCGACAAACAUACAUGCAAUAUAAUGAUUAAUGAUCAUACAUUACAUCUAGUCAGUGCUAGAAAUAAAGAUAUACAUCCGUA